rnacentral:sRNA from 1 species
CAAGAAUCGGAGUACUUAAAAUUUGACUCCCGAAAUAGUGGUGAAUCCUCCGGUAAGGGCAAAGAAGUUGUACCCGAAGAUCGGGACUAGGAGUACUUCGACUCCCGAUAUUGUUUCAAUUGGCAUUCGGGGUGAAGAAUGUCUGUCGAGG